GGGGUUAUAGCUCAGCUGGUUAGAGUGCUACGUUGACAUCGUAGAGGUCACAGGUUCGAACCCUGUUAACCCCAUCA
rnacentral:tRNA from 1 species